rnacentral:rRNA from 1 species
UUCGGGAGGGGAUUAGUGGCGAACGGGUGAGUAACACGUGGGCAAUCUGCCCUGCACUCUGGGACAAGCCCUGGAAACGGGGUCUAAUACCGGAUACUGACCCGCUUGGGCAUCCAAGCGGUUCGAAAGCUCCGGCGGUGCAGGAUGAGCCCGCGGCCUAUCAGCUUGUUGGUGAGGUAAUGGCUCACCAAGGCGACGACGGGUAGCCGGCCUGAGAGGGCGACCGGCCACACUGGGACUGAGACACGGCCCAGACUCCUACGGGAGGCAGCAGUGGGGAAUAUUGCACAAUGGGCGAAAGCCUGAUGCAGCGACGCCGCGUGAGGGAUGACGGCCUUCGGGUUGUAAACCUCUUUCAGCAGGGAAGAAGCGAAAGUGACGGUACCUGCAGAAGAAGCGCCGGCUAACUACGUGCCAGCAGCCGCGGUAAUACGUAGGGCGCGAGCGUUGUCCGGAAUUAUUGGGCGUAAAGAGCUCGUAGGCGGCUUGUCACGUCGGUUGUGAAAGCCCGGGGCUUAACCCCGGGUCUGCAGUCGAUACGGGCAGGCUAGAGUUCGGUAGGGGAGAUCGGAAUUCCUGGUGUAGCGGUGAAAUGCGCAGAUAUCAGGAGGAACACCGGUGGCGAAGGCGGAUCUCUGGGCCGAUACUGACGCUGAGGAGCGAAAGCGUGGGGAGCGAACAGGAUUAGAUACCCUGGUAGUCCACGCCGUAAACGGUGGGCACUAGGUGUGGGCGACAUUCCACGUCGUCCGUGCCGCAGCUAACGCAUUAAGUGCCCCGCCUGGGGAGUACGGCCGCAA